rnacentral:rRNA from 1 species
UACGGAGGGUGCAAGCGUUGUCCGGAAUCACUGGGCGUAAAGGGCGCGUAGGCGGCUCGUGAAGUCAGUGGUGAAAGCCCAGGCUCAACUCUGGGUCGGCCACUGAUACUCGCGAGCUCGGAGUUGGUAGAGGCGAGAUGGAAUUCCGGGUGUAGCGGUGGAAUGCGUAGAGAUCCGGAAGAACGACCGGUGGCGAAGGCGGU